rnacentral:rRNA from 1 species
AGUAGUUUGAUCAUGGCUCGAGGACGAACGCUGGCGGCAUGCCUAACACAUGCAAGUCGAACGAAGCCUUCGGGCUUAGUGGCGCACGGGUGCGUAACGCGUGGGAAUCUGCCCUUGGGUUCGGAAUAACAGUUAGAAAUGACUGCUAAUACCGAAUGAUGUCUUCGGACCAAAGAUUUAUCGCCUUUAGAUGGGCCCGCGUAAGAUUAGCUAGUUGGUGGGGUAAAGGCCUACCAAGGCGACGAUCUUUAGCUGGUCUGAGAGGAUGAUCAGCCACACUGGGACUGAGACACGGCCCAGACUCCUACGGGAGGCAGCAGUGGGGAAUAUUGGACAAUGGGCGAAAGCCUGAUCCAGCAAUGCCGCGUGAGUGAUGAAGGCCUUAGGGUUGUAAAGCUCUUUACCCGAGAUGAUAAUGACAGUAUCGGGAGAAUAAGCUCCGGCUAACUCCGUG